CAAUAUAGAGCUUGAAAAGCGUUUUAUUUACAUUAAAAAGAUAUUUGUUAAUUCAAUUUAUAUUGA
rnacentral:tRNA from 1 species